UCCCUCUCAGGGUAGUACCUGGAGAGUUUCCAGAACUCUACCAGCUUCGACUACGGGAGAGAGAGCCAAUCAUAGGCAUAGCUAUUCCAUUCCUAGCUUGGGCAGUAGCUAGCAAGUGGAAGGCAAUCUGCUACAAGU